rnacentral:rRNA from 1 species
GGUAUGCAACCUGCCCUCCGCAGGGGGAUAACCCGGAGAAAUCCGGACUAAUACCGCGUGGUACAUCUGUGGGGCAUCCCACGGGUGUUAAAAGGAAGCGAUUCCGGCGGAGGAUGGGCAUGCGGCGCAUUAGCUUGUUGGCGGGGUAACGGCCCACCAAGGCGACGAUGCGUAGGGGUUCUGAGAGGAAGGUCCCCCACACUGGUACUGAGACACGGACCAGACUCCUACGGGAGGCAGCAGUGAGGAAUAUUGGUCAAUGGGCGGGAGCCUGAACCAGCCAAGUCGCGUGAGGGAAGACGGUCCUAUGGAUUGUAAACCUCUUUAGGCGGGGAGCAAUGCCGGGCACGCGUGCCCGGAGGGAGAGUACCCGCAGAAUAAGCAUCGGCUAACUCCGUGCCAGCAGCCGCGGUAAUACGGAGGAUGCGAGCGUUAUCCGGAUUUAUUGGGUUUAAAGGGUGCGUAGGCGGAUUUUUAAGUCAGCGGUAAAAUGUCCGGGCUCAACCCGGGCCGGCCGUUGAAACUGGGGAUCUUGAGUGGGCGAGAAGUAUGCGGAAUGCGUGGUGUAGCGGUGAAAUGCAUAGAUAUCACGCAGAACUCCGAUUGCGAAGGCAGCAUACCGGCGCCCGACUGACGCUGAGGCACGAAAGCGUGGGGAUCGAACAGGAUUAGAUACCCUGGUAGUCCACGCAGUAAACGAUGAAUGCUAGUUGUCC